UGGGGAAUUUUGGACAAUGGGCGAAAGCCUGAUCCAGCCAUGCCGCGUGCAGGAUGAAGGCCUUCGGGUUGUAAACUGCUUUUGUACGGAACGAAAAGUCUCUUUCUAAUAAAGAGGGAUCAUGACGGUACCGUAAGAAUAAGCACCGGCUAACUACGUGCCAGCAGCCGCGGUAAUACGUAGGGUGCAAGCGUUAAUCGGAAUUACUGGGCGUAAAGCGUGCGCAGGCGGUUAUGUAAGACAGUUGUGAAAUCCCCGGGCUCAACCUGGGAACUGCAUCUGUGACUGCAUAGCUAGAGUACGGUAGAGGGGGAUGGAAUUCCGCGUGUAGCAGUGAAAUGCGUAGAUAUGCGGAGGAACACCGAUGGCGAAGGCAAUCCCCUGGACCUGGACUGACGCUCAUGCACGAAAGCGUGGGGAGCAAACAGGAUUAAAUACCCUGGUAGUCCACGCCCUUAACGAUGUCAACUGGUUGGUGGGUCUUCCCUGAAUGCCUAACCAAGCUAACCCGUGAGGUUGACCCCCGGGGGAGUACAGCGCCCAAGAUU
rnacentral:rRNA from 1 species